rfam:Salmo salar isolate Sally breed double haploid chromosome ssa06, whole genome shotgun sequence.
ACUGGAGCCAUUUGUAAGUCGCUCUGGAUAAGAGCGUCUGCUAAAUGACUAAAA